rnacentral:rRNA from 1 species
AACAAAUUAAUAAGUGCAAAUGGCGGAUGCCUAGGCACCAGAAGCCGAUGAAGGUCGUAGGAGGCUGCGAAAAGCCUCGGGGAGCCGCCAACCAGGCUUCGAUCCGAGGAUUACCGAAUGGGGAAACCCGGCUGGAGUAAUGUCCAGUCAUUUCUCUCUGAAUAAAUAGGAGAGUCAAAGGUAACGAGGGGAAGUGAAACAUCUCAGUACCCUCAGGAAGAGAAAACAACCGUGAUUCCGUUAGUAGUGGCGAGCGAAAGCGGAAGAGGCUAAACCAAUCAUGUGCCAAGCCGGCAGGCGUUGCAUGAUCGGUGUCGUGGGACUAAAUCGAAUCAACUGCCGUUAAUUCAACAAGUCAGAAAAUAAUGAAAUAGAUGAAGGACGUGGGAAAGUCCGGCAUAGAAGGUGAGACCCCUGUAGUCGAAAUUUCAUUAUCUUGUUUUUAGUAUCCCAAGUAAUACCGGACUCGUGUAAUCCGGUAUGAAUCUGGCGGGACCACCCGCUAAGCCUAAAUACUCUCUGGUGACCGAUAGUGAACAAGUACCGUGAGGGAAAGGUGAAAAGAACCCCGCAAGGGGAGUGAAAUAGAAUCUGAAACCGUUUGCAUACAAACCGUUGGAGCUGCCUUGUGCAGUGACAGCGUGCCUUUUGAAGAAUGAGUCUACGAGUUAGUGUGAUGUAGCAAGGUUAACCCGUCGAGGGGAAGCCGUAGCGAAAGCGAGUCUGAAUAGGGCGAAUAAGUUGCAUCAUCUAAACCCGAAGCGAGGUGAUCUCGCCAUGACCAGGUUGAAGCGCGGGUAAGACCGCGUGGAGGACCGAACCCACUAAAGUUGAAAAUUUAGGGGAUGAGUUGUGGCUAGGGGUGAAAGACCAAUCAAACUUCGUGAUAGCUGGUUCUCUCCGAAAUGCAUUUAGGUGCAGCGUCACGUGUUUCUUACUGGAGGUAGAGCUACUGGAUGGCCGAGGGGUCCUACAAGAUUACCAACGUCAGCCAAACUCCGAAUGCCAGUAAGUGAGAACGUGGCAGUGAGACAGUGGGGGAUAAGCUUCAUUGUCGAGAGGGAAACAACCCAGAACAGCAACUAAGGUCCCAAAGCCUGUGCUAAGUGGAAAAGGAUGUGAAGUCGCAUAGACAACCAGGAGGUUGGCUUAGAAGCAGCCACCCUUAAAAGAGUGCGUAAUAGCUCACUGGUCAAGUGAUUUCGCGCCGACAAUGUAACGGGGCUCAAGCACAGCACCGAAGUUCUGUCAUUCACACACUAUCCCGGUCGCAAGAUCCAGGAGUGUGGAUGGGUAGGAGAGCGUUGUGUAACUAGUGAAGCGGCGGAGGAAUCCAGCCGUGGAAGUUACACAAGUGAGAAUGUAGACAUGAGUAGCGAAAGACGGGUGAGAAACCCGUCCACCGAAUGACCAAGGGUUCCUGAGCCAGGCUAAUCCGCUCAGGGUAAGUCGGGUCCUAAGGCGAGGCCGACAGGCGUAGUCGAUGGACAACUGGUUGAUAUUCCAGUACCCGCAAUAAACCGACCGUGACGAAUCAAUAAUGCUAAGUGUUUGAAGUUGGCUAGCAAUAGCUGAUGGAGCGCACGACCCAAGUUGGUAGUAGUCAAGCAAUGGAGAGACGCAGGAAGGUAGUCCAACCCAGGCGAUGGUUGACCUGGGGUAAGAGUGUAGGAGGUUCUGUAGGCAAAUCCGCAGAACAAUCUCUGAGACUUAAUGCCGAGCCGUAAGGCGAAGUGGAUGAUCCUAUGCUGCCAAGAAAAUCUUCUAGCGAGGUUUAUAGUGGCCCGUACCCGAAACCGACACAGGUGGUCAGGUAGAGAAUACCAAUAAACGGCGGUGGUAACUAUAACCAUCCUAAGGUAGCGAAAUUCCUUGUCGGGUAAGUUCCGACCUGCACGAAUGGCGUAACGACUUGAGCGCUGUCUCCACCAUGAACUCGGCGAAAUUGCAGUACGAGUAAAGAUGCUCGUUACGCGCGGAAAGACGGAAAGACCCCGGGACCUUUACUAUAUCUUGAUAUUGGUACUCGGAACGUUCUGUGUAGCAUAGGUGGGAGACUUUGAAGCGGCACGCCAGUGUUCGUGGAGUCAAAAAUUGAAAUACCACUCUGAACGUUUUGAGUUUCUAACCUCGGCCCAUUAUCUGGGUCAGGGACAGUGUCUGGUGGGUAGUUUAACUGGGGCGGUUGCCUCCCAAAAAGUAACGGAGGCGCUCAAAGGUUCCCUCAGCCUGGUUGGUAAUCAGGUGUCGAGUGUAAGUGCACAAGGGAGCUUAACUGUGAGACAGACAUGUCAAGCAGGUGCGAAAGCAGGAACUAGUGAUCCGGCGGUGGCUUGUGGAAGCGCCGUCGCUCAACGGAUAAA